AACGAACGCUGGCGGCAUGCCUAACACAUGCAAGUCGAACGAGACCUUCGGGUCUAGGGGCGCACGGGUGCGUAACGCGUGGGAACCUGCCCUUAGGUUCGGAAUAACUCCCCGAAAGGGGUGCUAAUACCGGAUAAUGUCUUCGGACCAAAGAUGUAUCGCCUUUGGAUGGGCCCGCGUUGGAUUAGCUAGUUGGUAGGGUAAAAGCCUACCAAGGCGACGAUCCAUAGCUGGUCGGAGAGGAUGAUCAGCCACACUGGGACUGAGACACGGCCCAGACUCGUACGGGAGGCAGCAGUGGGGAAUAUUGGAGAAGGGGCGAAAGCCUGAUCCAGCAGUGCCGCGUGAGUGAUGAAGGCCUUAGGGUUGUAAAGCUCUUUUACUCGGGAUGAUAAUGACAGUACCGGGAGAAUAAGCUCCGGCUAACUCCGUG
rnacentral:rRNA from 1 species